rnacentral:rRNA from 1 species
GAUGAACGCUAGCGGCAGGCUUAAUACAUGCAAGUUGAGGGGCAGCAUGAUAUACGCGAGUAUAUUGAUGGCGACCGGCGGACGGGUGAGUAAUAGGUAGGAGACCUACCUCAUACAGGGGGAUAGCAUAGAGAAAUCUGUGGUAAUACCCCAUGAGGUUAUAUGAAUAGAGGCAUAUAAUCAAAGCAUAAGCGAUUAUGCGGUAUGAGAGGGGCCUACUGACCAUUAGCUAGUUGGUGAGGUAAGGGCUCACCAAGGCGAAGAUGGUUAGGGGUUUUGAGAGAGAGACCCCCCACAUUGGAACUGAGAGACGGUCCAGACUCCUACGGGAGGCAGCAGUAGGGAAUAUUGGGCAAUGGGCGAAAGCCUGACCCAGCCAUGCCGCGUGAAGGAAGACGGCCUUAUGGGUUGUAAACUUCUUUACUACGCGAAUAGAGGUUAGUACGAGAUACUAAAUAGGAAGGUAGUGUAAGUAAAAAGCAACCGGCUAAACUCCGUGA